rfam:Bacillus thermoamylovorans genome assembly, strain 1A1, contig: A1A_CC6
GAAAUAAAAGCAUUUAUACCGUAGACAGUAGGUGCUCCUCAAGAGCUUAAUUUCCUACCGAGGUAAUAAACAUAGAUCGUAUGAUUACCAGGAUUUCGAAUGUCGAAAAGACUGGCUAUGUAAACCUCCUUGUCUACCGGCAAGGAGGUUUUUUGGUAGACAG